UCCAAAAGAAAUCCCUCCCAACCACGCCAUAGGUCAGGCACCAUUAAACAGGUGCAGGACUACCUUCACAGCAGAACCUUGAACCUGCAAGUCAAAGCAGUGGGACGCAGUCUGGAGAAAGAUAACAUUGGAUUAGCAGCUGAGAUUUGGGCCAAAAUGUGAGCUAUACUGACACAACAGCGAAGGUCAAAUGUGGCAGCCACAUUAUCGGUGUGAGAGAGAGUGUCCAGGUCCCGGGCGAAAUGGCUGCUGCACACUUGAUGCUGUGUUCAGUGAGGUCAGACAGGAGAGGACCACACUUCAAAACACAGAGUUGCUCAUGUGGAAGAGGAGUCGCUCACCUGUGCAGAUGUGCACACACACACACAGCAACAACAACAACAACAACAACAACAUGUGUGUCUUUACCUUCAUGUUUCUGUACACUCACUGGUUCAGUUGUUAAAGGUGCUGCC